UGGUGCAGCUUAACUACCCUAAAAGCACUAGAUACCAUCUGAUCUUGGAAGCCAAGAGGGUCAGCUUGCCUAGUACUUGGAUAGGAGACUGACAAUGACUUCUGUGGGAAAUGUCUCAA
rnacentral:rRNA from 11 species